CGGGCAUUUGGCCGUCAUUGGGGAUUUAGGCAUUAGGGAUUGUUUUCUUCUUUGUUUCUCUGAGAAGCGAGAACAAAUGGAGAACUUUUUAAGCAUUUAGGCAUUCGGCCAUUGUUUUGUGGCACUGGCAGGUUUGAACAAUUUUUCUUUCGGCACUGGCAGGUUUGAACAAUUUGUCGGCACUGGCCAUUGUUUUGUCGGCACUGGAACUUGGAAGUUCGAAGUUCUUCAAGGAAGCCGUCGCUGCUACUGAAGCUGCCGUUGCCGUUGCCGUUGGUACUGAAGCUGCCGCUGCCAUUGCUACUGAAGCUGCCGCGGCCACUGAAGCUCCAGGUACUCGAAGCUACCACUACCGCUGCUACUGAAGCUGCUGCUACCACCGAAGCUCCAGGUACUCGAGGCUGCCGCUGCCGCUGCCACCGAAGCUGCCGCUUCCAGGAAGCUUUGUUCCUCUCAAUCCUCUUGUGGAGUUUGACGGUCUCUCUCCCUAUUCUCUUAAGGAAUGAAACUCUAAAUUUGGAUGAUUUGGACACGGGAGAUGAAGAUGAGACCAAUAAUGAAGAGAAUGUGGAAAGAAAUGUUCUUAAUGUGGGCUGUGAUGUAAAUGAACUUGGUGGUACUGAAUUUGGCAGAAGUUGGGAACCAUGGGCAUGAAUAAUAGAUGGAGUGAACUACUCAAGUGAUAAUUGUGGUGUUGUUUAUGUUCAUGACUUUAUGUUUGGUUGUAUUGAAUUUGUCGUUUA